GAGGAUCUACUUCCUAGUUCAAUGGAUUGGCGGUUUGAAGCAUUCUCUACACAUCUCAUGGAGAGCUAGGUUUACUUCUUGUUUGGGUUUUGUGAAUUCAUUUGGAUUGAUGGGUUUGUUCUUGUACGUAGUGAUAGGAUUCUGGAUGCAUGAUGAUUGAUGAUGUGUUCUGCUAUCUUGUUGCCUCGAUUUUCCGUUUCCAUUCGAUUCACAGUUUUCUCAGUUUUCCUAAUUUUGGUUUUCUUGUGAGAUUGAUUGCUGAGUUAUUUGUUGAGUGGAUGUUUGUUGGUGUUGAGGGUGGUUUUAGGGCAUUGAGUUGAUAGACCCAAUCCUAAGACCCGAAACAUAUUGUUACCUAUGUUCCUGUCUAUUUUGCUGCUGUGUAGUUUU
rnacentral:lncRNA from 1 species